UACGAAGGGUGCAAGCGUUACUCGGAAUUACUGGGCGUAAAGCGUGCGCAGGCGGUUGUGCAAGACAGAUGUGAAAUCCCCGGGCUUAACCUGGGAACUGCAUUUGUGACUGCAUGGCUAGAGUGUGUCAGAGGGGGGUAGAAUUCCACGUGUAGCAGUGAAAUGCGUAGAUAUGUGGAGGAAUACCGAUGGCGAAGGCAGCCCCCUGGGAUAACACUGACGCUCAUGCACGAAAGCGUGGGGAGCAAACAGG
rnacentral:rRNA from 1 species